GAUGAACGCUGGCGGUCUGCUUAACACAUGCAAGUCGAACGGAAUCCCUCGGGAUUUAGUGGCGGACGGGUGAGUAACACGUAAGAACCUGCCUCUAGGACGGGGACAACAGUUGGAAACGACUGCUAAACCCGGAUGAGCCGAAAGGUAAAAGAUUUAUCGCCUAGAGAGGGGCUUGCGUCUGAUUAGCUAGUUGGUAAGGUAAAGGCUUACCAAGGCGACGAUCAGUAGCUGGUCUGAGAGGAUGAUCAGCCACACUGGGACUGAGACACGGCCCAGACUCCUACGGGAGGCAGCAGUGGGGAAUUCUCCGCAAUGGGCGAAAGCCUGACGGAGCAAGACCGCGUGGGGGAGGAAGGUUCUUGGAUUGUCAACCCCUUUUCUCAGGGAAGAACGCAAUGACGGUACCUGAGGAAAAAGCAUCGGCUAACUCCGUGCCAGCCGCCGCUGUAAAAC
rnacentral:rRNA from 1 species